UACGGAGGGUGCAAGCAUUAAUCGGAAUUAUUGGGCGUAAAGGGCGCGUAGGCGGGUAAGUAAGUCAGAUGUGAAAUUCCGGGACUCAAUUCCGGAGCUGCAUUUGAAACUGCUUGUCUUGAGGAUUGGCGGAGAGAACGGAAUUCCACGUGUAGCGGUGAAAUGCGUAGAUAUGUGGAAGAACACCGGUGGCGAAGGCGGCAUCCUGGACCGACACUGACGCUGAGGAGCGAAAGCCAGGGGAGCAAACGGG
rnacentral:rRNA from 1 species